GUCACCACCACCACCUCCUCCAUCCAGUCAGUUCAGCUAGAUGGGGAGGCGGACCGGGCUAACUGCGAGCACUGAGCACUUCUCCCUGGGGAGUAUCCAUUUGCCUUCCUAGGGGGCUUGUUCCCAUGCUGACAAGUGGACAAGACCGACUCAGCAACGCGUUACCAUGCCAACGGCGCAGUCCUGUACGUCAGACCUUCUUCAAGGCUCUUCGCCAUUUCCUUCUCUGCCAUCAUUGAUUUUCGCCCCGUGUCGUUUCACCUGACAACAAGCAUCUCUCCCUUCACGACCUCAGAAUUCAGCCCUCAUGGACCUCGUCUGACUUGGGCUCUUAGAAGCUAACUAACUUUUGAUACCAACUUCACACCUGUGGAAGGAGCUGGGAAUGCCCCGCAUUUGCCGUCAGCUUCUAGGACCAGAAGUGAGUGUGGCACAGGUGUGGGGUCAUCCACUGAAGCACGGUUGAUUUACCAGAGGCAACACCCUUAAUGAAAACCCAGGAGCCAUCAACUGUCAAUAGCUUCUCACCCGGGCAUGGGGAGGGCUCGUGGGCCCUUCCCUUCCUCAUGCUGUAAUGUUGACUAGUUUGAUCUUGAGUCUUGUACAGGCAAUCACUGAAACGUGUUGUCAUGUCCAGAACUUACUGUUAUACUCUAAUCUUCCCUGGCUUCUAGUUCUUAUGGUCAUUUUUAUCACUUCUGUGACGAUCCCUAAGUCUUGCAGGGGAAGGAUAUGCUAUAAAUGUCCCACUUAUGGCCAAGCACUCCACAGACAUUUAUCCUCCCCACUUUGACUGGUUGUAAGCUUUGGUGUUAACUGCCACUCACUGUACAAAGAAGCUUCUCUGAUGAGGACAGAGAACUGCACUGACCUAUGAACAGAGAGGUGUGCGUUUAGAUAGCAGUUUGAUACUAUGUCCAGUUAGGAAAAUAAUAAAAAAUAAAUUCUCCCUGA